rnacentral:rRNA from 1 species
AGUAAAAGUCGUAACAAGGUCUCCGUAGGUGAACCUGCGGAGGGAUCAUUACACAAUAACAAGGCGGGCUGGACACCCCCCGCUGGGCACUGCUUCACGGCGUGCGCGGCGGGGCCGGCCCUGCUGAAUUAUUCACCCGUGUCUUUUGCGUACUUCUUGUUUCCUGGGUGGGCUCGCCCACCCUCAGGACCAACCACAAACCUUUUGCAAUAGCAAUCAGCGUCAGUAACAACGUAAUUAAUUACAACUUUCAACAACGGAUCUCUUGGUUCUGGCAUCGAUGAAGAACGCAGCGAAAUGCGAUACGUAGUGUGAAUUGCAGAAUUCAGUGAAUCAUCGAAUCUUUGAACGCACAUUGCGCCCUUUGGUAUUCCAAAGGGCAUGCCUGUUCGAGCGUCAUUUGUACCCUCAAGCUUUGCUUGGUGUUGGGCGUCUUUUGUCUCCAGUUCGCUGGAGACUCGCCUUAAAGUCAUUGGCAGCCGGCCUACUGGUUUCGGAGCGCAGCACAAGUCGCGCUCUUCGCCAGCCAAGGUCAGCGUCCAGCAAGCCUUUUUUUCAACCUUUGACCUCGGAUCAGGUAGGGAUACCCGCUGAACUUAAGCAUAUCAAUAAGCGGAGGA